CUGACAUCAACAGCAUACUGACUUUACUCCAGGACUGGAGAGUCACUACGAGCUGUGUGUGGAAGCUAGGCUAACAAGCUGAGCAAACUUAGCGUCCUUGGAAUCGGAAGGAGGAAUUUCUACCUAACGACCCAAACCCCGAGUGCUCUCCCGCUCCGAGCCGAGGGCCCCGCUGAGCCAAUGAGCGUGGACAAAACGGCACUCGAUUGCCAGGGUUUAGCGGCAAUGAUCCUGGAAUAACAAGGAGCAUAUUGUACCAUCGGCGGCCAGGCUUCCAGGCAGAGCUCAACGACGGCGUUAACGACGUUCUAACGACCUGGCGGAGCAGGUUGGCCGUGGGGACGGGGUGUGGGUGUGGGGGGUGCAGUCACAAAUGAGGAGCGUUCUAUGCUGGAGGAACACAGUUUGCAUCAGUGAUUCUCAAACUGGGCACCAUCUAGAGGUACGCUAAAGAAUCACUUGAAUAACGUGACGUGUUUAAUUAUAUUCAAACACAGUGUUACUGUUUAAACUAUGUGUAAUGUUACAGUGGCAAAAAAACAAUAAAUAUACUUGUUAAAUAGAACCUCUGACUUGUUUUAAUGAACACAUAGGCCUACUACGCUAGUGUAUUUUAAUGUUGGUCAUAGGGUUGUACGGUAUACCAGUCUUAGUAUAGUACCGCGAUACUAAUAAAUCAUACCGCCUCUGAAAAGUACCGCCCCCUUUGUCGUCGUCACCUCGUUUCAUUGCUGGUUUUACGAGCAGAGGAGCAUGUUCGGAAGCGCACAAUCACAGAGUACUUACAAGCAGACAGUGUAUGGACAGAAAAGGGAGAAUGGACGCAUUUUUGCUUAAAAUCUAGCGAUACAGGUGAAGUUAUAACAUUGAAACGCCCUCAGGAAGAGGUUUCUUUAAGACAUGGCUAGCUAGCUAGCGGCUAACGUCCAGCCGCAGUGUUUUAGCUACUUCUAAAUCACUAAUCCUCGCCUCCAUGGCGAUAAAUAAAGUACGUUUUUUCCAAGUAUCAUCCCUGCAGGACG